ACCACCCAUACGUAAAAAUGUAUGUGCACAUGACUGUUGGUGUAUUAGGGCGGCCUGUUCUGUCCUCUGUAUUUCAGACCAAAGCAAGACAAUGUUUAAAGCUCACUAUGGAUCUACAAACAGUGUCAACUUGAAUUUGAGUGUGGCUGUGGAAGACUGGCCCUUGAUGAUGUCUGCAAGUGGCUGAGUACCAAUGAUCUCCAUGAUUCCAUCCCAUCAUUCCAAGGUUCACAAUCUGUCUGAAGAAUGCUAACUAUUCAAUUGUCCACUUUGCAACAAACAUACUUUCUCUGUGUCCAAACUACUCACACAUGUUGGCCUCUAUCACCAGCAUGAACCACGUUUUCUAAUUACCUGUGAACUUAAUGGGUGAGGGAAAACAGAUGUUUCAGCGCGUAUCAGUCACACAUCUACUGAAACCACAGAGAGCUUUUAAAUGCCAACUUAGAUGAGUUUUGCCUCAUGAUGAAUUUGAGACUGGGACUGAUCCCAUUGAAAAUGACGUGAGCAAUGUAUAGAGUCUGCCAGAGACUGAACAUGUUCAAUUGAAGUACCCUUGAGCAACAAAGAAGGUUAUAACACAAGGUCAUUUCAAUACAUCCUAUUCGUCAGCACACUGCAAAAAAUAGCAAGUAAUGAAGAGGUCUGGGCCACCUUGAAUCAAGACCAAAAGCCACAUAAUGAUCAAAUUCUGGAAGACUUUACUGACGGUGAAUUGUUUUUUACAUUUUACAUUUUAGUCAUUUUAGCAGACGCUCUUAUCCAGAGCGAC